GCCCAGACUCCUACGGGAGGCAGCAGUGGGGAAUAUUGCACAAUGGGGGAAACCCUGAUGCAGCAACGCCGCGUGAAGGAAGACGGUUUUCGUAUUGUAAACUUCUGUUCUUAGUGAAGAAGAAUGACGGUAGCUAAGGAGCAAGCCACGGCUAACUACGUGCCAGCAGCCGCGGUAAUACGUAGGGAGCGAGCGUUGUCCGGAAUUACUGGGUGUAAAGGGAGUGUAGGCGGGAUGGUAAGUUAGGUGUGAAAUGCGGAGGCUCAACCUCCGAGCUGCACUUAAAACUGCUGUUCUUGAGUGAAGUAGAGGUUGGCGGAAUUCCCAGUGUAGCGGUGAAAUGCGUAGAUAUUGGGAGGAACAUCAGUGGCGAAGGCGGCCAACUGGGCUUUUACUGACGCUGAGGCUCGAAAGCGUGGGGAGCAAACAGGAUUAGAUACCCCUGUA
rnacentral:rRNA from 1 species